rnacentral:rRNA from 1 species
AUUUAACGCUGGCGUCAGGCUUAACACAUGCAAGUCGAGCGAUCGGCGGACGGGUGAGUAAUUUCUGGGAAACUGCCUGCUGGAGGUGGAUCACUACUGGAAACGGUAGCUAAUACCGCAUACCAUCAGAUGUUCCCAGAUGGGAUUAGCUAGUAGGUGGGGUAAUGGCUCACCUAGGCGACGAUCCCUAGCUGGUCUGAGAGGAUGACCAGCCACACUGGAACUGAGAAAAGGUACAGACUCCUACGGGAGGCAGCAGUGGGGAAUAUUGCACAAUGGGCGCAAGCCUGAUGCAGCCAUGCCGCGUGUGUGAAGAAGGCCUUCGGGUUGUAAAGCACUUUCAGCGAGGAGGCGUUACUCGCAGAAGAAGCACCGGCUAACUCCGUGCCAGCCGCCGCGGUAAUAC